CAGCAUACCAUGCAGUCGAGGGGUAACAGAGAAAAGCUUGCUUUUCUGCUGACGACCGGCGCACGGGUGCGUAACGCGUAUACAAUCUGCCUUAUACAGAGGGAUAGCCUUUAGAAAUGAAGAUUAAUACCUUAUAGUCUAUAUAUAUAGCAUUAUAUAAAUAGUAAAGCUUCGGUGGUAUAAGAUGAGUAUGCGUCCUAUUAGUUAGUUGGUGAGGUAACGGCUUACCAAGACAACGAUAGGUAGGGGCCCUGAGAGGGGGAUCCCCCACACUGGUACUGAGACACGGACCAGACUCCUACGGGAGGCAGCAGUGAGGAAUAUUGGACAAUGGAGGCAACUCUGAUCCAGCCAUGCCGCGUGCAGGAAGACGGCCCUAUGGGUUGUAAACUGCUUUUAUAUAGGAAGAAACCUUUUCACGUGUGAGAAGCUGACGGUACUAUAAGAAUAAGGACCGGCUAACUCCGUGCCAGCCGCCCAGGGU
rnacentral:rRNA from 1 species